rnacentral:rRNA from 1 species
UACGGAGGGGGCUAGCGUUGUUCGGAAUUACUGGGCGUAAAGCGCACGUAGGCGGCUUUGUAAGUUAGAGGUGAAAGCCCGGGGCUCAACUCCGGAAUUGCCUUUAAGACUGCAUCGCUAGAAUUGUGGAGAGGUAAGUGGAAUUCCGAGUGUAGAGGUGAAAUUCGUAGAUAUUCGGAAGAACACCGGUGGCGAAGGCGGCUCACUGGUCCGGAGCUGACGCUGAGGCACGACAGCGUGGGGGAGCAAACAGG